UACGUAGGGACCGAGCGUUGUCCGGAAUCAUUGGGCGUAAAGAGCGUGUAGGCGGCCAAUUAAGUCCUGCGUGAAAUCUCGGGGCUCAACCCCGAGCGGUCGUGGGAAACUGGUUGGCUAGAGUGCGGGAGAGGAGAGUGGAAUUCCUGGUGUAGCGGUGAAAUGCGCAGAUAUCAGGAAGAACACCCGUGGCGAAGGCGGCUCUCGU
rnacentral:rRNA from 1 species